GACGAACGCUGGCGGCGUGCUUAACACAUGCAAGUCGAACGGUGAAGCCCUUCGGGGUGGGGCAGUUGCGAACGGGUAAGUGACACUUGAGCAACCUUCCCCUGGCUCUGGGACAACCACUACAACCGGUGGCUAAUACCGGUUACGGCUCGGCGCUCCUGCUGGUGGGGGGGGAAAGUUUAUCGGCUGGGGAUGGGCUCGCGGCCUAUCAGCUUGUUGGUGGGGUGAAGGCUCACCAAGGCGACGACGGGUAGCCGGCCUGAGAGGGCGACCGGCCACACUGGGACUGAGAUACGGCCCAGACUCCUACGGGAGGCAGCAGUGGGGAAUAUUGCACAAUGGGCGGAAGCCUGAUGCAGCAACGCCGCGUGCGGGAUGACGGCCUUCGGGUUGUAAACCUCUUUCAGCUCUGACGAAGCGAAAGUGACGGUAGUGGCAGAAGAAGCACCGGCUAACUACGUG
rnacentral:rRNA from 1 species